AUGAACGCUGGCGGCGUGCCUAAUACCUGCAAGUCGAGCGAACAGACGAGGAGCUUGCUCCUCUGACGUUAGCGGCGGACGGGUGAGUAACACGUGGAUAACCUACCUAUAAGACUGGGAUAACUUCGGGAAACCGGAGCUAAUACCGGAUAAUAUAUUUAACCGCAUGGUUCCAUAGUGAAAGACGGUUUUGCUGUCACUUAUAUAUGGAUCCGCGCCGCAUUAGCUAGUUGGUAAGGUAACGGCUUACCAAGGCAACGAUGCGUAGCCGACCUGAGAGGGUGAUCGGCCACACUGGAACUGAGACACGGUCCAGACUCCUACGGGAGGCAGCAGUAGGGAAUCUUCCGCAAUGGGCGAAAGCCUGACGGAGCAACGCCGCGUGAGUGAUGAAGGUCUUCGGAUCGUAAAACUCUGUUAUUAGGGAAGAACAAAUGUGUAAGUAACUAUGCACGUCUUGACGGUACCUAAUCAGAAAGCCACGGCUAACUACGUG
rnacentral:rRNA from 1 species